rnacentral:lncRNA from 1 species
CGUCUCCAUGGGAACGAUCUGAGUGUCUACUCCGCGUCCUGGGGCGUCGGUUUCGGUCCCGCCCGGCUGCGGCCGUUGUUUGCUGGGACAGUCCUUGGGCCGGUCUCCGUCCCUGUCCAGAGGCUCCGUACGUGAGGCGGACUCUCGGGAGCACCGAGCCGGGCGCGGAUAAGGAACGGGGGCAGAAAAGGAGGACCAGGGGCCGAGAAGCCGCUCUGGCUACGAAAUCUCAGACACCGUUGUAAAUGGGUCCUUCACAGCCGCCCGCCCCACGUUAAAACUGAAGAAGAGAUGCAAGGAGGCGGAAGCAGCUUGGGCCUCGGGACCGAGGGUCCUGUGAUCAGCAAGGGAGGACCAGAGAGGCUCAUGCCUCCGUUUUACAGCUCAGCCUUCUCGACCCUCCACCCUUCCCCAAAAAAGGAGCACAAAGGAGCAAGCAGGGGUCACGCCUUUCCUCACAGUCUGACCCGGGUGAGUAGGGGUCUUGUCUCAUCUCCCUCGACUUCUCCAUGGACUGUGGGAGUAGCUGAAGUGGCUGUGGGGACGGAGGGAGCAGACUGAAUAGAAACCGUUCCUCAUGUGCCUGAGAAGCUUUCGAGCCUCCUCUUCAG